CCUACGGGGCGCAGCAGUGAGGAAUAUUGGUCAAUGGGCGGGAGCCUGAACCAGCCAAGUCGCGUGAAGGAAGAAGGUACUUAGUAUUGUAAACUUCUUUUGUCGGGGAACAAAGGCGGAGACGCGUCUCCGGAUGAGUGUACCCGAAGAAAAAGCAUCGGCUAACUCCGUGCCAGCAGCCGCGGUAAUACGGAGGAUGCGAGCGUUAUCCGGAUUUAUUGGGUUUAAAGGGUGCGCAGGCGGUCUGUUAAGUCAGCGGUCAAAGCCCGGGGCUCAACCCCGGCCCGCCGUUGAAACUGGCAGUC
rnacentral:rRNA from 1 species